rnacentral:misc_RNA from 1 species
GAGAGAGAGAGAGAGAGAGAUCCAUGGAAUGGAAGAAUCAGGAGUCAGGUAGGCAGGGAAAAGAUUUGAUGGUAUUUAUAUAUGGGUAUUUAGGAGCACAUUUGGGGUGGGACAGCAACAGCUCGCUGCACAUGAAUUUUCUAGGAAAAUAAGGGAAAAGUAGAGAGUGGGUAUGAAGGGAAUGCAUCGUGGACACGAGAUAUUUAACUCAGUUGGAAGCUCAUUGAAAUGGACCAAAAGAUGGCCUCUAAAACGCUACCACAUGGCAUUUUAAGUUUCAGCUGAGACAAGAAUCC